rnacentral:misc_RNA from 1 species
GAAAUGCGAUAAGUAAUGUGAAUUGCAGAAUUCAGUGAAUCAUCGAAUCUUUGAACGCACAUUGCGCCCCCUGGUAUUCCGGGGGGCAUGCCUGUUCGAGUGUCAUUUCACCACUCAAGCCUCGCUUGGUAUUGGGCAACGCGGUCCGCCGCGUGCCUCAAAUCGACCGGCUGGGUCUUCUGUCCCCUAAGCGUUGUGGAAACUAUUCGCUAAAGGGUGUUCGGGAGGCUACGCCGUAAAACAACCCCAUUUCUAAGGUUGACCUCGGAUCAGGUAGGGAUACCCGCUGAACUUAAGC